GCCUCCUUGGCUUAGUGGUAUAGCGCCUCUCUCGUAAAGAGGAGAUCCAGUGUUCGACUCACUGAGGGGGCA